GACGAACGCUGGCGGCGUGCUUAACACAUGCAAGUCGAACGGAAAGGCCCCUUCGGGGGUACUCGAGUGGCGAACGGGUGAGUAACACGUGAGUAACCUGCCCUUGACUUCGGGAUAACUUCCGGAAACCGGGGCUAAUACCGGAUAGGAAUCCUUGCCGCAUGGUGGGGGUUGGAAAGCCUUGGCGGGUUUGGGUGGGCUCGCGGCGUAUUAGCUUGUUGGUGGGGUAGUGGCUUACCAAGGCGUUGACGGGUAGCCGGCCAGAGAGGGUGAGCCGCCACACUGGGACCUGCGAGAGGCCCCAGCGUCUAAUGGGGGCCAGAGGGGGGAAGAAUGCUCCAGGGGCGGAAGGCGUGUGCAGCAAGGCCGCGGUCGGGAAGGCGGGCUUCGGGGUGUGAAACGCUUUUAGCAUGGGACAAUGCUGUUGUGACGGUACCAGCAGAAGAAGCACCGGCUAACUACGUG
rnacentral:rRNA from 1 species